rnacentral:rRNA from 1 species
AUGGAGUUCUCUAUCUCUGCUACUGUGACCUCCCUGGCCGAUGGCAAAACCUGGCUGGUCACUUCGGUCUAUGGACCGCAAGAGGAUGGAGAGAAGGUGCGGUUCCUGGAGGAGAUUGAGCAACACGGUGAGCAGGUGCAGCUCCCUUGGAUUCUAAAUGGUGACUUCAACAUAGUCACGCGUGAGGAUGAGAGCAGUUCAGGGAGAGCUAACAGAAGGCUGAUGAAUAAGUUCAGACACACAAUCAACAAGCUGGGUUUGCAUGACAUGCCUCUGGCGGGUAGGAAAUUCACUUGGUGUAAUGGGCAGGAAAGAACCAUUAUGGCCAAAUUGGACAGAGUUCUG